CAGUUCAACCUAGAACUCGACUUUUCAGUCUCUCAUCUCCUUCGUUUGAACCCUAAAUGCUGCCUUCAAAUUCCGCUAUUUCCACCAGUGAUUGAAGCUCCAAUCAACCCAAAAACUUCAUCACACACUCCCCAUAAUCCAUCAGACACUAAGUCACCGUCAGUUUCCCCUAAAUCCCCUCCAUUUUUCUUUAAUUUCAGAUCAUAAAUGGAAUCCCAGAUCCGUUCCCGCCUUCGAUUCCUCAUGAAAAGGGUCUAGGUUCAUUGUUCUCCAGUCUUUGAAGAUGAUUUUGGCCAGAAAUGAGUGUUAGAUGUUUGUUCUCACAAGAACAAGCCGACUAAUACUCCUUUUUUGCUUCAAAUCGGAAAACAUCAGAGAUCUUUUCAAGCCAUGCUCGUCUACAUUCUUCUUUAGGUACUAUCGUUCUUUUAUUUUUCCCCGUUCCUUUGUUCUAUUUCCCGUCUUUAUCUCCUUCUGUUUCCUCUUUCUUUUUUCUUUAUUAUUUUUCUGUUUUUGUAUCAGUUUUAUGUUGGCAUGAUUAAAUUAAAAGCAUGUUAGUUACGUUUGUUUUGAUUUUCAUGAUUAAUUCCUUCUCAUUUUUUGGUUUCAUUUCGAAAGAGUUUUGGUUUUGCAACCCCUUUAGCCUGUAUUUUUGUGUGGGUUUUCUUUUGAGUUUUUAAUUGGAAUUGAGCUUCAUGGUUCAGAAGGCCAAAGGGAAAGGAAAGGGUUAGUCCGGGUUUUGCAAGCCCAGGUUUUGGGUCAUUUGUCGGGUCAACUUGACCCAUGUGAUCUACUGAGGGUAAAUAACAAGGGUUACAAGGGUAGUUUAGGGAUAUUAAUUAAGAGAAUCUCUUAUAACUUAUUUGGAAACUUCCUGAAAGGUGGGGAAAGGGACUGACCUAACAAACAAAACCAAAAUUCAAGGUAAAAGUGAACAAAUUGAAAAUUUAAGAAGGGGUAAUGGGUAAAACUAGAAACCAAUUUUGCUGCCCUAAAAGUGUUCUAUAAAAAGGCAUGUUUCCUUCUCUUUCAUGGGAGGAUAGAGAGAAUUACAAUACUAAAAACUGGAAAAAAAACGGCUGAGUUUAAAAACAUUGAAAUCCUUUGCAUUUUAGUAGAAAUUGGUUUAGUUUCUGCUGUUUGUCUUCAUAGCCUGACAUUUUCUCAAGAAAUUUUGUUUCAUUUUGGGUUUAAAAUGGCUCAAAAGGGCUGAGUCUCAUGGUUGUUUAGCUGUGUUGGUGCUGCUAAUACUUUGCUAUUUGUUUUCUCCCACUUCAAGCUUAUUUCCCUUGUUGGUUUUGCUGUAAGCAGGUACCCUUUGGACCCUAUGAGUUUAUGAAAUGCACUUUUGAAGCUAUGUGAUCAACUUGAACAGUUAUGGAUGAGUGGAAAUUUGCUGAAUGUUAAGCUUUGCAUUUUUUCGAAGAUCCUUCAUGUUCUUUUUUUCUUCGUUGAAUUAGUUUAACAUGUGUUGUAUUACAUUUAUGUUUUUAGCAGCACGUUUUGAGAUUAUGUUUAGAGUUUGGUUUAGUCACUUUGGCUUUAAUUGAGUUGAACUAUUCUCUUCAUGUAUUUAAUUUGGACUGUGCAGCACAGACUGAUUUAGACGAGUAGUAUCUUCAUAUUGUAAGAUUGUGAUUGAGUUAUUUUGGGCUAGUAGUGAUAAUCAAUCAGUCCACAAGGAGCUCCUCUCACAGUGUUGCUGGUUAAAUGUUGGUUUUAAUAUCCCCACGAAUAUAUGAGCUAUUGUUGCAUUUUUGAUAUCUAGUUUGAAGGAUUAAAUUAUUUUACUGUUAGAUUCACUAAGUGCAUGAGUUCAAAGUGAUGAGAAGUAGUUCUGACUUUCAAAUACAGAAGGUUUGUGUGUUCUUUGAGCAUGAAGUGCUCUAUUUUGCAAUAUAGAUCUAAAUUAUGUGGUAAAUCUCUUAUUUGGUUUUAGUGAAAUCAAUCAGUUUAAUGUAUUCAUACGGUGUUUGUCAAUAUGAGGGUUGACAUAUUUAAUAAGGAGUUUCGAACUCAUGUUCAUGUGAUGUUAAUUGCA
rnacentral:lncRNA from 1 species